CGACUUUCCGGAAAACGGAGCGGCAUUUGCUCCCUCUUCGGGCGCUUCUUUCUGAGCGGCAGAAAGCCAUUUCUAGAACACACUGGAUUAGGUUAAAAAGCGGUUGAAAAACCGCCGCGUCCUUCGGAUGCCGUGUUGGGGGGGUCCUGAGUGACAAGCCCCCACUUCUCCGGGGCGAUCGCCGCCCGGGAGGCGCAGCAGGGCAAGCCCUGGGCAGCGGCUCUUCCAGAGCUUUCUGCGGGCCCUGCGUCACCCUCCGGAGUGAGCCGCCGCCGCGGGGGGGCCGCAGGUCAUCAAACAUUUGUUGUGCAUCUAUGCCCUAGGGCGUGCGAGGUACUCUGGACAGAGAUGACAGUCCUUUCUGGAGGAACUCAGAGUCUGGUAGAGAAGAUGGAUCACACAUGUACCUGUCUGCACCGCCGCCAUCCCAGCCACCAUCAUGUCAUAUCUGGAUGGCCAGAUGUCUCUCCACAAGCCAUGACUUGUGACUUUGGUCAGGUCACUCCAUGGCAGCCUGAGUGAUCUUAAAACAACAACAACAACAGCAAUGAAACAAUUUGGUACUAUUACAAAAGCUAAUACACACUUAGGGUAAAAAUUCAAAUAAUAAAGGAUAUAUGGUGAAAUGUCCAAACCAGAUCCCUCUUUCCCUCAUCUGCAACCUCCAGACCUACUUCCCAGAGGCAACCGGUUUCUUCCGUGUACUUCCAAUUUGUUUCGAGGCAUAUAAAUGCUUUUUUAUAUGUGUGUGUACAUAGUUGCCUAUGUAUGUAUACAGGUGUGUAUGUAUGCAACCUUAAAAAACAAACAAUGCACCUUGCAUUUUUCACUUGCAAGUGCACCAGAGCUUUUUCCUACUGCCAAAUCCGAGGACUGCUGCCCUAUUGUUCCCAGUGAUUUGCUCUUAUAAAAACCGCUGCAGUGCAAUCAGUUCCUAGAAGUGGAAUUGCUGGCUUAAUGGAGACGUGCAAUUAAAAUGUUGAUAGCUAUUGUCCAGCGCCUCUCAGAAUGGCCUUCUGAUUUCCAUUUCCAGAGUGCGACUUCUCCUCACCCUCACCAACACUUCCCCAUAUCUUUGUCACGCGGAUAGGUAAAAAUUGGCAACUCCUUUUAAAUUGUAUUUUUAAAAUACGAGUUAGGCUGAGCUUCCAGCAUAUCUGUUAUCCACAUGAAUCUCUCUUUCUGCUGAGUUGCCUUGCCUGUUCUUUCUGCUGGGUUCUUUAUCUUUGGCUUUCGAGUUCCAAGCAUUCUUUGUAGUUAAGGAAAUAGGCACAUUGUCUCUCAUAUUGUUGCAAAUAUUUCUCCCAGUUUUCCGAUGGUCUUUUGACUUUAUUUUUGCCAUGAAAGAGUUUUAUGCUUUUUAGAAUCAAAUUAAUUAAUCCUUUCCUUCUCAGUUUAUGGAAUUAGUACCAUAAUUUUCUACUCUGCUGCUGCAGAAGAAAUCUAUUCAUGCUUUCUUCUCAUGCUUUCAUGGUUUGAUUUUUACAUUUAAAUCUUUGACCCAUCUGUAAUUUAUUUUGAUGUGAAGGAGAGAGGUAUAGAUCCACAUUUAAUGGUUUUCCAAAUGGCUAGCCAUGUUCCCAAUACUAUUUACUGAGUAAUCCAUUCCCCCCAUGUAGUUCCGGCUUUAUCAUAUUCUAAAUUUCCAUGUAUAGUUGGGUCUACUUCUGGGCUCUGUAUUGCGUUCUAUUGAUCUUUCUGCCUAUUCUUGUAUGUGUGCCAAAUUGCUUUAUUUACUCCAGCUUUAUCAUGUAUAUAUUUUUACCUAGUGAGGUUCUGUUUUAGAAAUUUAUUGGCCAUUUGUACUCGUUUUUUUUCCAGAUGAAUUUUAGUGUUAUUUUAUCAGUGUAGUGGGUAAGCAGCCUGAAAUAUGUAAUUACAAAGUAAUUUAAUCACACUGUGGUAUGUGGUGUGGAGGGAAGGUACUAGGAGUUGGGGAAGUGUAAUAUACUGGCCCUAUAGUUCAGAAGGUUAUAUUAUAUGUAUGUGGCAAAUGUAUAGAUAAAUUUAAGGAAACUUAACAUUUUCACAAUACUGUCUUUUUGUUCAAGACAAAAUGUGUCUUUCCAUUUAUUCGAGUCUUCGUUUUUGCCCCUCAGUGAAGUUUACAGCUUUUCUUUAGAUACAUAUUACCUACUUCUGGGUAAGUGACUUUCUGAAUAGUUUGCUCUUUGUGUUACACUUAUGAAUGGACUCUUCAUCCAGUGUCUUUUCUUUUUUCUUUCUUUUUUUUUUUUUUUUUUGCGGUACGCGGGCCUCUCACUGUUGUGGCCUCUCCCGUUGCAGAGCACAGGCUCCGGACGCGCAGGCUCAGCGUCCAUGGCUCACGGGCCCAGCCGUUCCACGGCAUGUGGGAUCUUCCCGGACCGGGGCACGAACCCAUGUCCCCUGCAUCGGCAGGCGGACUCUCAACCACUGCGCCACCAGGGAAGCCCCUGCUUGCCUUUUUCAUGGCUGCAUCCCCAGCCCCUAGAAUAAUGCCGGCAGGUGGUAUUUAGAAAGAAGUCGUGUGCCCUGACUUCAGGUCUGGAGCACUCAGACGUCCAGGACUGAGGACUUGCAGAUAGUAAGAAACCCACGCGGGUGGCAUGUGGCAGCAGUUCAGCCAGCAGCACCUGACUCUUGCAAAAAAGGAGACUUAUCUGCCUCAUUCUAAUUUCAUGAAGAAGGUGCCCAUAUACUGGACAAAUGGCUGAAGACAUUAACUCAGUGGGCUGCAGAGAUUUUUAUGAAGCGUGUGUGGCAACAUAAGUUAUGAUAGAAGUGAAGAUAUCAGGAUAAAAAAUACAGACUGAUUACAGGCAGGGUGUAAGCAGCACAAAUACAGUGACUGAUUUUUUUUACUUGUUUUGUUCACAGCCAUUGCCUGGAACAGUUCCUGGGACGUGGUGGGUACUCCGUAGAUACUUGAUCGAAUGAAUGAAUUAGGCAUAAAAUUGGCAUAAGAUUGGAAGUUCCAGUAGCAUCAAGGGCAUUAAGGUGAUGUGAUUACUUUUUAUUCUCUUGUUUGAUGUCUUCCCCGUUGUCUAUAACGGAGUUAGGCAACUUGUCGAAUGAAAAAAAUUUUUCUUAAGUUUUUUGGGCAAAGCUUUUCCGAGAUGGCACCGCACUAGGUGGCCACCAGAGGGCAGGGUUGCCCUACUGUCGGGGGCCGUAACCACCAAACCAAGUUUCUUCUAAAACCCUUAAGUCAUGUGGAGGUUUAGUUACACACCUGGGGACCUUCCUGGUGACAGGAUUCAAUCCUAUUUCUCCCUCACCCAGCUCUCAGCUCCCCAGAUUGGAGGCAAAAGCUUUUGUGUGAAGAACACAACCUGUCCCAUUGGGCCCUGCACCUUCUCUGAACCAGCUUUUAAUUUAUUGAGUGCUGAGCCCCUUCUGAGUGCCGUCUCUGGGAUGAGCAGUGAAGAGGACUUGGUUCCUACACUCACAAAGCUUGUCCCAGGCCUGCUAACCUUCAGAUUCAGACAGGGAAACUCAGGCCUGGAAAGAUGCCAAGCUUGGCAAAAAAAAAAAAAAAGUCUAGAGCUUAAUUUAGCAACCUGUCUUAUUUAUUUGUGUGUCCAUUCCAAAAGAGAGUGGUACUGGUGCGUGUGGCUGGGGCUGGUGGGAGGAUUCAUUCAUUCUCCCCAAAUAUGCACCAGGUCCCUCUUCUGCACAGACACUGCUCCAGGCACUGGGGAAGCAGCAGACCCUACCCUCGUGAAGCUUACAGUUUGGUGGUGGUGGUGAUGGGGGUACAGACAAAUAAAUACAGAGUGUGAAGGUGGCGAUGAGGGCUGUGAAGGAAAACAGGCAGGAUAAGGGGGUUGAGAGUGAUGGGCUGGUGAUGCUGUUUCUAUAAAGAAGUCAGGGAAAUCUCCGAUGAGGUUAAUUUUGAGCAGAGACCUUAGUAAAGUGAAGGAGCAGAACUAGUGGCCAUCUGGGAGAAAGCAGAAGGGACAGAAUGUGCAAAGGCCCUGAGGCAGGAGUGUGCUCAGGUGGGAAUGUGUAUGUGUGUGUGGGGGGGUGCAGGUUCUGGAGAGGUGCAAGAUCCCACAGACCCUGUGGGCUGCUGUAGACUUUGCCUUUUGCUCUGAGCUGCUGCAUUGAGAAUAGUCUGCAGAGGCGCAAGGUGGCAGCAGGGAGACUGGUCAUCCGGGUGAGCUGAUGGUGGCCUUACACCUGGGACCCUCAGUAAACGCUUGCUGAAUCGAACUAAGCUAUCCUUGUCAGAGCUUGCUUGAAAUCAUGACCUCCUGACCUGCUACAGAGAAUGGAAAAAGCACCACAGGAACAAAACCUCCAAAGGAAAAACUGCCCCAAUUGUGGUGGGAUAAAAAGGAAGAUUUUCUUCCUAUUCUCCGUCAGGAACCAGAAUUCUGAAGGGGAAAGGCUCCUGGCCAGAAAUGCCUGGCCAGACCUCGAAUUUGGCAGAAGGGCGAUCUGAAGCCCAGGGUGGUGAGGUGACUCAUCCAAGGUCACCCAGCAGCUUAGUGGCCACCUGGGAUGCUGGAAUGAGGACUCUUGCCCUGCACUGUGUACCUCUUGCUGCUUUGUUCCUUUUCCCAGGCUCUCAGACAGUCCCUUCUCUGCUCCCACAGUAUGAAUCGCCUCUCGCCUGGGGCUCUGCUCGUGGCUCUGGCUACUCGCCAGCUCAGCCAGGUUGCACCCAGCAGCCCCAGCCUCGCUGUGUUCUCCCAGGACCCUGAGCUGGCUCUGGUCCUCUUUCCACUUGGCAGGCCCCCUGGUUCUCUCACUCCGAAUCCAGAACAGAAAUAAAUUUGAUCUGUGACUGACGCUUUCAUGCAAUGUUGGUGAGAGGGAGAAUUUGCAGUAUCUAUCAAGAUUACAAGUGCCACGUCCUUAAACCUAGAAUUCCACCUCCAGGGUUUAUCCUGUGGAAACGCUGUGACGCUACACUCUCCUGGUGGCCUCCUCUCUGGCCUUUCCCUCUGCCACCCAAGCUCUCGACGUGGCUGUUUCUGCAGGCACUAGACCUUUGAGGCCUCUCCCCCUCUGUGUGCUCUCUGGGCGUGACUCUCCGUUCCCUUGCUUUUAAAUGCCGUCUCUACGCUGACUCUCCCUUGGUUAAGACAUCUCAGUGGCUCCAGUCUCAUUCAGCCAACUGCCUUUUUAUUUUUGAGAUGUAAUUCAUGUACCAUAAAAUUUGCCAUUCUGAAGUGUGUAUUUCAGUGGUUUUCAGUAUAUUCACCAGGUUGUGCCGCCAUCGCCACUGUAUAAUUCCAGAACAUUUUCAUCACCCCAAAAGGAGCCCUGCCUCCACGAGCAGUCACUCUCCGUUACCCUCUCCCAUCAGCCCUAGGCAGCCGCUAAUCUAUUUUCUGUCUCCAUGGAUUUGCCUAUCCUGUACAUUUCCUGUCAAUGGAACCAUGCAAUAGAUAGCCUUUGUGUCUGACAUUCUUUCACGCAGCAUAAUGUUUUUGAGGUUCACCCAUGUUGUAGCGUGUAUCAGUACUUCAUUCCUUUUUGCGUCCAAAUGAGGGUUUCAUCGUAUACCAUAGAUGUAAACCAUAUUUUGUUUACCCAUUCAUCAAUGGAUAGAUAUUUGGAUCGCUUUCGUUUUCUGGCUGUUAUGAAUAAUGUUGCUGUGAACAUUUGUGUACAAGUAUUUGUGUGCCUAUGUUUUCAGUUCCGGCCCAUCUCUCUAAAGUUGUAACCCUUCUUCCCCAUCCCGCCCUCCUCUCCUGCUUCCUCACCCCUCCCUACACCACCCCCAUGGCACUUAGCGCUCUGUACCCUACUUUGGAUUUUACUGAUUUGAUUGAUUGUCUCCCUUUCUCUCAAUAGAAUGUAAACUGCAUUUUUGGCUGUUUUGUUUAUUUCUGUAUUCCUAGUGCCUUGAACAAGGCCUGGCACCAAAGUAACUCAGUAGAUAUGUGUUGAAUGAAUAAAUGAAGGAAGGAAAAACAACUGUUCUGCUUCUCAUCUCUUUCCCCUCCUCCAGUUCUCUAACUAACUCAGGGGUAACCACUCACCAUUGUUUCCCAGGUAGUUAACUCGGUUUCUCUAAAUAACAUGCCACUGCUGCCUUGUUUUGAUUUAUCCGUUUUAAACUUCCAUCAGCUUCCUCUGACCCUGCUACCUCUUUUCCAUUAUCCCCAAAUUGAUGUUUUACAUUUAGUUAAAUCAUUCGGACUAUGGAAAUAUCGUUCGGCGCAAAGACAAAUUU